rnacentral:rRNA from 1 species
GUGGGGAAUAUUGGACAAUGGGCGAAAGCCUGAUCCAGCCAUGCCGCGUGUGUGAAGAAGGUCUUCGGAUUGUAAAGCACUUUAAGUUGGGAGGAAGGGCAGUAAGUUAAUACCUUGCUGUUUUGACGUUACCGACAGAAUAAGCACCGGCUAACUUCGUGCCAGCAGCCGCGGUAAUACGAAGGGUGCAAGCGUUAAUCGGAAUUACUGGGCGUAAAGCGCGCGUAGGUGGUUUUGUAAGUUGGAGGUGAAAUCCCCGGGCUCAACCGGGGAACUGCCUCCAAAACUGCAUGACUAGAGUACGGUAGAGGGUAGUGGAAUUUCCUGUGUAGCGGUGAAAUGCGUAGAUAUAGGAAGGAACACCAGUGGCGAAGGCGACUACCUGGACUGAUACUGACACUGAGGUGCGAAAGCGUGGGGAGCAAACAGGAUUAGAAACCCUAGUAGUCC